rnacentral:rRNA from 1 species
CUAUACAUGACUCUGCGCAUAUCAAUAAGCGGAGGAAAAGAAAAUAACAAUGAUUUCCCUAGUAACGGCGAGUGAACAGGAAAGAGCUCAAAGUUGGAACCUGCUUGACUUAGUUAAGCCGGAUUGUAAACUGUAGAAACGUUUUCUAGGCAAGCCGAGUUAAAAAGUCCUUUGGAACAGGGCAUCAUAGAGGGUGAGAAUCCCGUCUUUGACUCGAGUAUUUUGUCUUUUUAUGAUACGUUUUCCAAGAGUCAGGUUGUUUGGGAAUGCAGCCUAAAUUGGGUGGUAAAUCUCACCUAAAGCUAAAUAUUUGCGAGAGACCGAUAGCGAACAAGUACCGUGAGGGAAAGAUGAAAAGAACUUUGAAAAGAGAGUUAAAUAGUACGUGAAAUUGUCAAAAGGGAAGCGUUUAACACCAGUGUUGUUUUCUGAAAAUCAACCUCUGUUAGCUUUAUGCAUGUUUGUUUAGACCUAAUCAGCUAUCCUGCAUGUUCUAUUGUUUGCAGUGGUGCACUUUUCAGUUUACAGGUCAACAUCAGUUUUUUUUACCGUAAAAAAGUUAAAGAAAGGUAGCUCAUGGCUCCGGUCGUGAGUGUUAUAGUCUUUUUCCUAUGCGGUAGGAGAGACUGAGGUCUGCAGUGUAGGCUAUUUGGCUAGAUACUCAGGUGCUAUGUGAUAUCAUUUCAUAAACAACUUGUUGAUUAUGUUUUGUCUAUUGCAUACUCGCUUGUACUAUCAUACCUACGCUUAGGAUGUUGACAAGACUGUCGAUCUCAUCUAUACAUGACUCUGCGCAUAUCAAUAAGCGGAGGAAAAGGGGCAGUGGCUUGACCAUAUCUCGGGAAAGAAGUCAUGGUCGUACCUACGCUUAGGAUGUUGAGUCGUAGAGCACGCAG